CUGGCUCCAUCUCUCCUAGACCCAUUUAAGAGCUGACUACCAGUAGGGAAGGAUUUCUUCUGGAGAUCUGCUCUACCAGUUUCUCUUGUGAGCGCAGGGUUCUGGGCCAUGAUCACAAUUUAGAAAACGGAGCGGUCAGCUUGAAAAAGAAUACAGGAGAAAACUAGGAAGAAUACUGAAGGAAAGCUGGAGAAAAUCAGUGAAGCAAGCAAGCUCAUGAUAAACCUCCAGAAGAGGAUUCAACUAAUAGAGCCUGCCUGCUGCUGGAAAAAACUUGAGCAGAAUCUCUGGCAAGUGGUGAAAGGUGAUGUACAUCAGUGUGAGUAGCAAAGUGCCAAGAAAUGCCAAAUUAAUACGAUUUCCAAGCAAAGAUGCAGACCUAAAAGGCCAAAUAAGAACGUCACUGCCAAAACACAGAAGAGUGAGGCAGAAAAACAGAUACAGAAAUGAAUGCAAAUGUGUGAUUAUUCUGUAAAGUGUUAAUUACUGGACGUUAGAAUCUUCCCUGCCCUUUUUAGGGAGAGAAAACCCACUCUUACUUCCUAUAACAAGAUGGGCAGGAUUUUUUAAAAGCCUGAAUAAAGAAAAUUCACCCCACUCAUUGUUACUGUCUACCAUUAGAGGGUUGAAAUGCAGCAUUUGCCAGAAGUGCAUGUUCCUUUAUUCAAUCUCUUUCAGUCUACCAGUAUAACUGCCAAUCACAGGAAAUACCUCUAAUAACUCUUCCUUUUACUUAAUAAGGAAUAUCACAUCUUUUAAACAUUAGAAACAGAUGUCACUGCAUUACUUCACUGCUGAUGUAUGUAAUAGAAAUGACACACUAAUUAAUUUAAUGCAGUAUAAAUGUACUGAUUAUUUAUCAUGGCUGACAAUAAAAUUAUGAAAACAUUCAAUUACAAUCAGUGGUAAUUCAUUAUUUAUUGAUUUUGCAUUAUGCACACAUUAAUACAAUACAUUUGAUUAAAGAAGGGAAAGGAUCAUUCUUCUAUUGAUACUUAGACAUUUAGAUUCAUCCAUUUUAUUUAAAAUCCUUGAUGUUUAGAUGGGAAGUUUU